rnacentral:lncRNA from 1 species
GAUUUUUGAAAUGUUUACAUCCUUCAUAUGCAUAGUAUCUGUUCUGAGAUGAAUUUCUAGCUAGAUUUUAUAUUAUGAAAGUAUUCAGUGGCUUAAUAUAUGACUUAUGUGGAGGUUUCUAAUUUUAUUAAUUAAUGUCAAUGGACAAUGAGUAGCAUUUGUGACAAAGUAAAAUUAUAUUUAUAGUCUUGAUGAGUUCUUGAUUACAAAGAUUUAUUCCAAUUCAAGUUAUGCAGCUUAAAAGUCCUACUCCAGUGUCAAGUCAUUUGUGUGCUAAAUAGCCUGUAAGUAAAUAAAUAUUGCCAUAUAACAACUCACUUACUUUCUCUAAUGUUAAUCUGCCACUUGAUAGUUAAUUUUUAAAGGGAGGAGUUAAAAGAUGUCUAAAAGACAUCUGUUAUCUGAGAGCUUCUCUAUGAUCCUUGUUUUGGUUAAAUACUAAUAUCUAAAUUUUUUUAAUUGACAAGUAAAUUUCUAUAUAUUUAAGGUAUGCAACAUGAUCUGUCUCAAAAGAAAAAAAAAAAAGAGAGAGAAUAUGUAUUGUGGACAAAUCAUACACACCAUAGGCCACCAAAUGAUCAAGGAGAAAUGAUUUCUUAAAAGAUGAUAUUGGAAUAACAGUUUUUGUUACAAUAAAUUUCACACUCAUGAAGAGACAUUUAAAAUCUGGGCAAAAUAGUCUAACAAAAGUUUAACUUCUACAAAAUUCUAAAUAAUGCUCCAUUUAACGUAUCUUAACUAACUAUUUGAAAGAA